ACUCUUUGGUCGAUCGAGUGGGGAAUUGCAGAGCUAGUGAAUCAUCCUGAAAUCCAGAAGAAGCUCCGCAAUGAACUUGACACCGUGCUUGGUCCUGGUCAUCAAAUCACUGAGCCUGACACCCACAAACUACCCUACCUUCAGGCCGUGAUCAAGGAAACUCUUCGCCUUAGGAUGGCAAUUCCUCUUCUUGUCCCGCACAUGAACCUUCACGACGCCAAGCUUGGAGGCUACGACGUCCCUGCUGAGAGCAAAAUCCUAGUGAACGCGUGGUGGCUCGCCAACAAUCCCGCCCAAUGGAAGAAACCUGAAGAAUUCAGGCCUGAGAGGUUUUUGGAGGAGGAGUCCAAGGUUGAGGCUAAUGGAAAUGACUUCCGUUACCUUCCUUUCGGUGUUGGAAGAAGAAGCUGCCCUGGAAUUAUCCUUGCUUUGCCAAUUCUUGGUAUCACUAUUGGGCGUUUGGUACAGAACUUUGAGCUCUUGCCUCCUCCAGGUCAAUCUAAGAUUGACACUGCAGAGAAAGGUGGGCAGUUCAGUUUGCACAUUUUGAAGCACUCGACCAUUGUUGCCAAG
rnacentral:lncRNA from 1 species